GGCAGUGGCUUGUGGAAGCGCUGUCGCUCAACGGAUAAAAGGUACCUCGGGGAUAACAGGCUGAUCUUGCCCAAGAGUCCAUAUCGACGGCAUGGUUUGGCACCUCGAUGUCGGCUCGUCGCAUCCUGGGGCUGGAGUAGGUCCCAAGGGUUGGGCUGUUCGCCCAUUAAAGCGGUACGCGAGCUGGGUUUAGAACGUCGUGAGACAGUUCGGUCCCUAUCCGCUGCGCGCGUUGGAAAUUUGAGAAGGGCUGUCCUUAGUACGAGAGGACCGGGACGGACGAACCUCUGGUGUGCCAGUUGUCCUGCCAAGGGCACGGCU
rnacentral:rRNA from 16 species